rnacentral:rRNA from 1 species
UACGUAGGGUGCAAGCGUUUAAUCGGAAUUACUGGGCGUAAAGCGUGCGCAGGCGGUUGUGCAAGACCGAUGUGAAAUCCCCGGGCUUAACCUGGGAAAUGGCAUUGGUGACUGCACGGCUAGAGUGUGUCAGGAGGGGGGUAGAAUUCCACGUGUAGCAGUGAAAUGCGUAGAGAUGUGGAGGAAUACCGAUGGCGAAGGCAGCCCCCCUGGGAUAACACUGACGCUCAUGCACGAAAGCGUGGGGAGCAAACAGG